rnacentral:rRNA from 1 species
UACGGAGGGGGCUAGCGUUGUUCGGAAUUACUGGGCGUAAGGCGCGCGUAGGCGGCUUUGCAAGUUAGAGGUGAAAGCCCGGAGCUUAACUCCGGAACUGCCUUUAAAACUGCAUCGCUAGAAUCGUGGAGAGGUGAGUGGAAUUCCGAGUGUAGAGGUGAAAUUCGUAGAUAUUCGGAGGAACACCAGUGGCGAAGGCGACCGCCUGGACGACAACUGACGCUGAGGCGCGAGAGCGUGGGGAGCAAACAGG